AUUGAACGCUGGCGGCAGGCCUAACACAUGCAAGUCGAACGAGUGGCGGACGGGUGAGUAAUGUCUGGGAAACUGCCCGAUGGAGGGGGAUAACUACUGGAAACGGUAGCUAAUACCGCAUAUCAUGGGCGGUGCCCAGAUGGGAUUGGCUGUUAGGUGGGGUAACGGCUCACCUAGGCGACGAUCCCUAGCUGGUCUUAGAGGAUGACCAGCCACACUGGAACUGAGACACGGUCCCGGCUCCUACGGGAGGCAGCAGGGGGGAAUAUGGCACAGUGGGCGCAAGCCUGAUGCAGCCAUGCCGCGUGUAUGAAGAAGGCCUUCGGGUUGUAAAGUACUGUCAGCGGGGAGGCGUUACCCGCAGAAGAAGCACCGGCUAACUCCGUGCCAGCCGCCGCGGUAAUAC
rnacentral:rRNA from 1 species